UUCUACCAACAGACUCCAAAUUAAAACCAUUGUGGACAGAAACCUGUGCUAACUGAUGCAGCAGCAAGCGGCCCUGAUGGCAUCAGUCGCGCAGGGCGGCUACCUGAACCCCAUGGCUGCCUUCGCUGCCGCCCAGAUGCAGCAGAUGGCGGCCCUCAACAUGAAUGGCCUGGCGGCCGCACCUAUGACCCCAACCUCAGGUGGCAGCACCCCUCCGGGCAUCACUGCACCAGCCGUGCCUAGCAUCCCAUCCCCCAUUGGGGUGAAUGGCUUCACCGGCCUCCCCCCACAGGCCAAUGGGCAACCUGCUGCGGAAGCUGUGUUCGCCAAUGGCAUCCACCCCUACCCAGAGCCCCACCGCCGCGGACCCCCUGCAGCAGGCCUACGCCGGAGUGCAGCAGUAUGCAGGUC
rnacentral:sRNA from 1 species